rnacentral:lncRNA from 1 species
GCCUCAGAGGGGCCCUGAGGCUGGGUCUUCAGGACAGUCACUUUCCUGGGCUUUGAAACGGGCAGGUUGAAGACCAGCACCGUCAAACCCCUGACAAGUUAUCUCUUGAUGCCCGCAGCAAUCUGAAGAUUAUGCAGUGGUCCCCAACGUGUCCUUUACUCCCAGGGUUGCUGCUGCUGGGAGCUGGCUCAGUCUGAAAACAGCCUUUAGAAAAACUGCAUCGUGAUAAAAGAACAGAGCUCUAAGGAGGCGUACAUUCUUUUCCCCAGUAUUUUAUUAUGGAAGAUUGGUCCAGGAUGAAGACCGGAUGUGGGUGCAGGGUCUACGGCGGCUCAGCGGCGCUCACCAGCAGCAAGCGGCCGCCCAGCGGGGGCGCCGGGUCGGCCUCGGGGCCGAUCCUCACCCCCUGCAGCACCAGCGCGUCCUGCCGCGGCAGCCUCACGUCCACCCGCACGGCGCGGGCCCCGCCCGCCCGCCCCGGCCGCGGGCUCGCCGCCGUCCGCCGCGGCCCCGGCCCCGCCAGGCCCAGCCAGAGCGGCAGGCGGCAGCAGCAGCAGUGGCGACGGCGGCGGCGGAGGAGGAGGCGGCGGCGGCGGCGGCGACCUCAGCGCGGGGCGAGCGGCGGGCCCAUGGCGGGACCUGGGAACAGACGACGCAGGGGCGCCGGAGUGGGGGAGGUGGUCCAGGGCGUGGGGAGGGGGAGCGGCGGGAGCGAGGGCGCAGCCGGACAGGGCAGGGCUCUGAGGGGCGGGGCGUGACUGCAGCCGGACGGGGCGGGGCGCUGAGGGGCGGGGCGGGCUGCAGCCGGACGGGGCGGGGCGCCGGGAGGCAGGGCGGGCCCUCGGCGCCGCCAGCACCCAGGCUGGACCUCGCGCGCCCCCUGGUGGCCGCGGAGAACGCGGAGCGACGGCAGCCACGCGGAGGUGGGAAGUCUGUGCUCGCAGUUUUCCUUUGUCCGAUGGCAGAGACCAGAGGAAAGGACACCGACAGAAACAGCAAUCUGAAGAUUAUGCGAGUGGUCCCCAACGUGUCCUUUACUCCCAGGGGUUGCUGCUGCUGGGAGCUGGCUCAGUCUGAAAACAGCCUUUAG